AAGAGAACAACAAGAGAGAUGAGAGUAGAAGGUUGAAGGAGAAGAAGAAGAAGAGAAGGAGAGAAAUGAUGAUAGAAUGUUGUGUUAGAUUUAAAAAAGGGGAAA